rnacentral:rRNA from 1 species
AUUGAACGCUGGCGGCAGGCUUAACACAUGCAAGUCGAGCGGGGGAAGGUAGCUUGCUACCGGACCUAGCGGCGGACGGGUGAGUAAUGCUUAGGAAUCUGCCUAUUAGUGGGGGACAACAUCUCGAAAGGGAUGCUAAUACCGCAUACGUCCUACGGGAGAAAGCAGGGGAUCUUCGGACCUUGCGCUAAUAGAUGAGCCUAAGGCAGAUUAGCUAGUUGGUGGGGUAAAGGCCUACCAAGGCGACGAUCUGUAGCGGGUCUGAGAGGGUGAUCCGCCACACUGGGACUGAUACACGGCCCAGACUCCUACGGGAGGCAGCAGUGGGGAAUAUUGGACAAUGGGGGGAACCCUGAUCCAGCCAUGCCGCGUGUGUGAAGAAGGCCUUAUGGUUGUAAAGCACUUUAAGCGAGGAGGAGGCUACUUUAGUUAAUACCUAGAGAUAGUGGACGUUACUCGCAGAAUAAGCACCGGCUAACUCUGUGCCAGCCGCCGCCGUAA